AAGUCGUAACAAGGUUUCCGUAGGUGAACCUGCGGAAGGAUCAUUAACACGAAUAUAUCUAAAUCUCAACUCACCGUGAACAUUUAUUCUCCCUAGUGGCUGCACUUUGCUGCUAGGCUACCCUUUCAUACUCUGUCAACAGAGUACAUUAUUUUACCCCAUUUUCAUUCUUUUGUUUGUCCUUCGGUUUUUCACUGGACGGCCAAUCAAAAACACACACUAAAAGACCAUAUUAUCUUUGAAAAAAGAUUAUGUUUUUUUUCUAUUACGAAAUAAUAGGAAGUUCAUAAAACAACUCUUAGCAAUGGAUAUCUUGGUUCUC
rnacentral:misc_RNA from 1 species